GGACAAAUCUAAAGAGCUGCCCCUGCUCGAGUUUGGGCGAUUCAGCGCCCCCAAACAGUCUCGUCUUUUCUUGCCGGCGCUUUUAUAAGGAGGCGUGCGAGAAGGCCAGCGAAGUAGCCGCUUUGUCCCCGACGGACUAGGGUUAGGUCCGGACGCAGCGAGGAAGCCCUGGGGCACCCCCCGCCGCGGACGCCGCGCCCGCGGCAUCCCUUUUCCGCUUCAUCUUUGGCGCCCGGCCUCCAUUUGGUUAGACUUUCUCACGCGCUCCUGCUGGGCACACACGGCGGGCUGUCUGCGCGCAGAGGGCGCUCUGGAGCCCCCGCGGCCGAGGCUCCGACCCUUCCCUCCCAGUCCUCUCUGUCCCUUUUCCUCGGGGCUGCAGGCUGUGUACUCGGGAAUUGUGCUUCGGAAACGGGCCCCACGUCGCCUCCAUGCAGUAAGGCGGAAAGUAUUUAUAGACGCCCCUGCAAUCCUGCGGUGUGCAAGGUUUCAAUUACCGCUGUGCGGCCCACAGGACGGAAGGCUCACGCUUGGUGGCUCAGCGAUUUGCCCCGGAGUCCCGCAUGGAAAAAGCUGGAGUCCUCCGGGCAGCCCUGCCUGGCGGGAGUUCUGGACCUAUUUCCCAGACGAUAGGGUGGAAUUCAGAUGACCUCAGACGAGUUUCAUUUGCCCCUUGCAGAGGAUGAAAGCUGGCCAGGGACGCCCGAGGUCGGGAUCGUCUGCAUCCUCUUCCUGCCUCCCACCAAAAAGGUGUUCUCUGAUCAAGUCACGAAGAUACUGCCCUUUUUGACCUCCUUUUAGUGAUCCUGGCCACCAUAGGUUGCGGUGAUGACAUUUCAUGUCCCCACAUUCUACAAAUGUCAGAGCUUGAUUCUGGUAAAUUGCUGUCAGGAUGAAAGGCACUAAGUGGGGUUUGCAGGCACUAAUUUAGCCACAUUUUAAAUUUAGCCCCGGUGAGGUUCCUACCACAACUGAGAAAGAUGCAGUUUCCCCUUCUGUGGAACCUGCCUGGUUGGUCUCUGGUUGCAGUAUUGAGGCCUUGAAUUCAGCCAUAGGUGCUCUUCAGAGCGGCUUCUGUGGAACUAGCCCUACAGCGAAGGGAUGCAAUGCUGGGCCAACCCACAAAGUUUUCUUCAGCUGUUCCAACCCAAACCAUUGUCGUUAAAUAUUUUGUUUAUGCUUCUGAUAGCUGGAACCAUUAACGUGUAGAAAUAAGCUAGUCCAAAGUGGCGUAUUUUUCAAGCAUCAGACCAGGUCCAGAGGCCAUGGCUGUAUGUUUGUUUCAGUGGUGGCAAUUUCAAUAAUGGUCUGUGUUUGAACAUUAAAAGGAUGAUCCUUUUAUUUAAAAAGGGGGGAGGGGGGCAGGCAAACAUCUUUUGAAGUUUUAUUAUACCCCAGACUUUCAUAAUUUAUUCAAUCCUCACCAAAACCGUGGUGAAGUAGACACUAUUAUAUUCCCAUUUUAUAGAUGAACCCACUGAACCUUAGAGAGUUUGAGUAACUUGUCCUAGCAGUACACACAUCUAAUUCCAGCUCUCCAGGCUCCUGGUAUCAGCCUGUAUUGGAGAUGUCACAUAU
rnacentral:lncRNA from 1 species